rnacentral:rRNA from 1 species
GACGAACGCUGGCGGCGUGCUUAACACAUGCAAGUCGAACGGAAACGCCCUGCUUUUUUGGGGUUCUCGAGUGGCGAACGGGUGAGUAACACGUGAGUAACCUGCCCUUGACUUUGGGAUAACUUCAGGAAACUGGAGCUAAUACCGUAUAGGAUCUCCUGCUGCAUGGUGGGGGUUGGAUAUUUUCGGCGGUUGGGGAUGGACUCGCGGCUUAUCAGCUUGUUGGUGGGGUAGUGGCUUACCAAGGCUUUGACGGGUAGCCGGCCUGAGAGGGUGACCGGCCACAUUGGGACUGAGAUACGGCCCAGACUCCUACGGGAGGCAGCAGUGGGGAAUAUUGUACAAUGGGAGGAAGCCGGAUGCAGCAACGCCGCGUGCGGGAUGACGGCCUUCGGGUUGUAAAACGCUUUAGCCUGUGACGAAGCGUGAGUGACGGUAAUGGGUAAAGAAGCACCGGCUAACUACGUG